rnacentral:lncRNA from 1 species
AAAACAGACUAAUACACCCACCUUGUAAACCGAUUGUCAAUCCACCUCAUCUGCCUAUGGCUUGGGAACCUUAUCUCCCUUAGAACCCGGAGCUCAGGGGCAGGGGGCCCAUCAGCUGGGAGCUUAGCCAUGUGGGUUGAGGUCAUCUUAACCCAUCCUGAAUCUAAGGAAAUCUAAGACCUGGGACUGGUAGUGAAGAUCAGAUGC